rnacentral:rRNA from 1 species
GACGAACGCUGGCGGCGUGCCUAACACAUGCAAGUCGAACGGGACCGGGGGCAACUUCGGUUCAGUGGCGGACGGGUGCGUAACACGUGAGGAACAUGACCUUCGGCGGGGGAUAGCCGGCCCAACGGCCGGGUAAUACCGCGUACGACCUUUCGGGGACAUCCCUGGAGGGUGAAAGCAGCAAUGCGCCGCGGGAGUGCCUCGCGGCCUAUCAGCCAGUUGGUGGGGUAAAGGCCUACCAAGGCGACGACGGGUAGCUGGUCUGAGAGGAGGGCCAGCCACAUUGGGACUGAGACACGGCCCAGACUCCUACGGGAGGCGGCAGUGGGGAAUAUUGCGCAAUGGACGAAAGUCUGACGCAGCGACGCCGCGUGUGGGAUGAAGGUCUUCGGAUUGUAAACCACUGUCGGGAGGGACGAAUACGCCGCAAGGCGGGUGACGGUACCUCCAAAGGAAGCACCGGCUAACUCCGUGCCAGCCGCCGCGGUAAGAC